GUCUGCGACCAUACCACCCUGAAUGCGCCCAGUGUGAUCUCAGGAGCUAAGCAGGAUCGGGCCUGGUUAGUACUUGGAUGGGAGAAUAGUUAAAAAUAGAAGAUA
rnacentral:rRNA from 1 species